GACGAACGCUGGCGGCGUGCUUAACACAUGCCAGUCGAACGGAAAGGCCCUGCUUUUGUGGGGUGCUCGAGUGGCGAACGGGUGAGUAACACGUGAGUAACCUGCCCUUGACUUUGGGAUAACUUCAGGAAACUGGGGCUACUACCGGAUAGGAGCUCCUGCUGCAUGGUGGGGGUUGGAACGUUUCGGCGGUUGGGGAUGGACUCGCGGCUUAUCAGCUUGUUGGUGGGGGAGUGGCUGACCAAGGCUUUGACGGGUAGCCGGCAUGAGAGGGUGACCGGCGACAUGGGGACUGAGGUACGGCCCAGACUGCUACGGGAGGCAGCAGUGGGGAAUAUUGCACAAUGGGCGGAAGCCUGAUGCAGCGACGCCGCGUGCGGGAUGACGGCCUUCGGGUUGUAAACCGCUGUCGCCUGUGACGAAGCGUGAGUGACGGUAAUGGGUAAAGAAGCACCGGCUAACUACGUG
rnacentral:rRNA from 1 species